rnacentral:rRNA from 1 species
GACGAACGCUGGCGGCAUGCUUAACACAUGCAAGUCGAACGAGAAUCUGUGGAUCGAGGAUUCGUCCAAGAGAAGCAGAGGACAGUGGCGGACGGGUGAGUAACGCGUGAGGAACCUGCCUUUCAGAGGGGGACAACAGUUAGAAAUGACUGCUAAUACCGCAUAAUGCAUUUGAGUCGCAUGGCUCUGAAUGCCAAAGAUUUAUCGCUCUAAGAUGGCCUCGCGUCUGAUUAGCUAGUUGGUAGGGUAACGGCCCACCAAGGCGACGAUCAGUAGCCGGUCUGAGAGGAUGAACGGCCACAUUGGGACUGAGAUACGGCCCAGACUCCUACGGGGAGCAGCAGUGGGGAAUAUUGGGCAAUGGAGGAAACUCUGACCCAGCCAUGCCGCGUGAGUGAAGAAGGUUUUCGAAUUUGUAAAGCUCUUUCGGAUUGUGAAGAUGAUGACGGUAGCAUCUAAAGAAG